rnacentral:rRNA from 1 species
AUACGUAGGGUGCUAGCGUUAUCCGGAUUUACUGGGCGUAAAGGGUGCGUAGGUGGUCUUUCAAGUCGGUGGUUAAAGGCUACGGCUCAACCGUAUUAAGCCGCCGAAACUGAAAGACUUGAGUGCAGGAGAGGAAAGUGGAAUUCUCAGUGAAGCGGUGAAAUGCGUAGAUAUAUGGAAGAACACCAGUGGCGAAGGCGCUUCACUUGCCCGAAACUGACGCUCAGUCUCGAAAGCGUGGGUAGCAAAUAUGUUUAGAUACCCUUGUAUUCCACUCUGUAAACUAUGACAUCUAAAUAUUGCCGCGAGGCAGUGUUGAAGCUAACGCAUUAAGUUGUCCGCCUGGGGAGUACGGUCGCAAGACUGAAACUUAAAGGAAUUGACGGGG